UUAGCCUACGGGGGGCAGCAGUGGGGAAUAUUGGACAAUGGGGGGAACCCUGAUCCAGCGACGCCGCGUGAGUGAAGAAGUAUUUCGGUAUGUAAAGCUCUAUCAGCAGGGAAGAAAGAAAUGACGGUACCUGACUAAGAAGCCCCGGCUAACUACGUGCCAGCAGCCGCGGUAAUACGUAGGGGGCAAGCGUUAUCCGGAUUUACUGGGUGUAAAGGGAGCGUAGACGGCGAUGCAGGUUUGAAGUGAAAGGCGGGGGCCCAACCCCCGGACUCCUUUGGAAACUGUAUGGCGGGAGGGAAGUG
rnacentral:rRNA from 1 species